rnacentral:rRNA from 1 species
GACGAACGCUGGCGGCGUGCUUAACACAUGCAAGUCGAACGAUGAAGCCGGAGCUUGCUCUGGUGAAUUAGUGGCGAACGGGUGAGUGACACGUGAGUAACCUGCCCUUGACUCUGGGAUAACUGCGGGAAACUGUAGCUAAUACCGGAUACGACCCUCGGAGGCAUCUCCUGGGGGUGGAAAGAAUUUCGGUCAAGGAUGGACUCGCGGCCUAUCAGCUAGUUGGUGAGGUAAAGGCUCACCAAGGCGACGACGGGUAGCCGGCCUGAGAGGGUGACCGGCCACACUGGGACUGAGACACGGCCCAGACUCCUACGGGAGGCAGCAGUGGGGAAUAUUGCACAAUGGGCGCAAGCCUGAUGCAGCAACGCCGCGUGAGGGAUGACGGCCUUCGGGUUGUAAACCUCUUUUAGCAGGGAAGAAGCGAAAGUGACGGUAGGUGCAGAAGAGGGACCGGCCAACUACGUGCCAGCCGCCGCAGUAA